rnacentral:rRNA from 1 species
ACACGGGGGGCGCAAGCGUUAUUCGGAAUUAUUGGGCGUAAAGGGCGUGUAGGCGGUUUUAUCGGUCAGAUGUGAAAGCCCAGGGCUCAACCCUGGACGUGCAUUUGAAACAGUAAGACUUGAGUACGGUAGAGGAAAGCGGAAUUCCUGGUGUAGAGGUGAAAUUCGUAGAUAUCAGGAGGAACACCGAUGGCGAAGGCAGCUUUCUGGACCGAAACUGACGCUGAUGCGCGAAGGCGUGGGUAGCGAACAGGAUUAGAAACCCCUGUAGUCC